rnacentral:sRNA from 1 species
CUCAACUGAAAGUGAAGGACCCAGACUCUAGUUGAUCAUAAAAGGAUUCCUCUGUACUAGCACACUCCCCUAAAAAAAAAAAAAGAUAUUUGUCAGGAUACGAAUCAGGUUCUCUUCAAGUGCUGCCAGGGAUCUGAAGAGGUACCCUGCAACAAACCUGUUCCUGUAAGCCUCUCUGAGGAUCCCUGCUGCCCACUGCAUUUCCAGUUGCCUCCUCAGAUGUAUAAGCCCGAGCAGGUACUGUCUGUGCCAGACGAUCUGGAAGCCGGCCCCAUGGAUCUGUACUUGAGUGCUGCUGAGCUUCAGCCCACUGAGAGUUUACCUCUGGAGUUCAGUGAUGACUUGGAUGUUGUGGGUGAUGGUAUGCAGUGUCCUCCUUCACCUUUGCUUUUUGAUCCUUCACUAACCCUUGAAGAUCAUUUAGUCAAAGAAAUUGCUGAAGACCCAGUGGAUAUUUUGGGCCAGAUGCAGAUGGCUGGAGAUGGGUGCAGAUCCCAGGGAUCUCGAAAUUCUGAGAAAGCCUCUACACCAUUGUCUCAGAGUGGAUUGGCUACUGCAAAUGGGAAGCCAGAACCCACUUCUAUUAGUUGAUAGUUUGGGGAACCAUUUUACUUUGGUGGAUUUAAAUUUCUCGUUCUUCAAAGAAGUAUUUCUGAUCAUCUCUCACAAAACACAGGCAACCCAGACUACCUUGUUUUUCUUCUGGAUUGAGUAUUAUAGUCAAACGUAAAGCCAAAUUUUGAGGACGUGGACUGUGGGUUUCUUCCCAUUCAGGGCAAGGAAGAGAAAGAGAGAUAAUCCCUAUCAAAGCUUCUGGGAUUAUUUGGGACUAUACCUAAAAGGAAAGUGACAUCUUUGUAAUGGGAUUUCCCAAGUCAUGGAUAGAAAUCCACUUAAGUAGCUAGGUGGGAGCUGUCUUUGUGAG